rfam:Dothistroma septosporum NZE10 unplaced genomic scaffold DOTSEscaffold_5, whole genome shotgun sequence.
UUCGAUGAUUAUAUCUUUUUAACCCUGAGUUUCUCAAUGAGGACCAUAAACAGCAACAACACUCUAAUUUUUAAAUGAGC